GUAAAUUACUUAUACCAUCCGCCCGGGAACUACGAGCAUUAGCUUAAAACCCAAAGGACUUGGCGGUGCUUAAUAACCCCCUAGAGGAGCCUGUUCUAGAACCGAUACCCCUCGUUAAACCUCACCCUUUCUAGCUUAUUCCGCCUGUAUACCGCCGUCGCCAGCUUACCCUGUGAAGGUUUCAUAGUAAGCAUAAUUAGUAAAACCCAAAACGUCAGGUCGAGGUGCAGCACACGAAAGGGAAAGAAAUGGGCUACAUUACCUGUUUACAGGUUAAUACGAAAAGUGUACUGAAAAAUACACUAGAAGGAGGAUUUAGUAGUAAGAGGGGAACAGAGUGCCCCACUGAAACCGGCCCUUAAGCGCGCA
rnacentral:rRNA from 1 species